GGACUGUAGCUCAAUUGGGUAGAGCACCGCCUGAUAAUGGCGGACGCUGCGGGUUCGACUCCCGUCAGUUCUA
rnacentral:tRNA from 1 species